AAGAAUUCUAUGUUACUUGGACUUGGGUAUGAGUAUCCAAGAUUGAUGCAUGUCCAUGGGUUGGAUUCACCUAAGUUCUAAAAUUUAUAAGCAGAAAUAUUCUUGCUGUGUAACUUGAACUAAGUUGUGAAUCAUUUUGAGCUUGUUUAGGUUUUGGAAAACACUGAUAAGUUGAAAUUUCACUAUGCCUUUUCCUGAGCUCCCUCAUCACGUCUUUCCCUUCUCGUCUUUCCCUUCUCGUCUUUCUUCCAUUUGUGUGCUUGAAAGCUAGCAAGAUAAGCGUAGUUAGAGUUUUA
rnacentral:misc_RNA from 1 species